UAUAUUUUAGUGUAAGAAGCACAAUAAUUUUUGAUGUUAUUAGAUGUAGUUUAAUUCUAUAAAAUAUAA
rnacentral:tRNA from 1 species